GUUGUUCUGCCAAGAGCACCGCUGGGUAGCUACGUAUGGAUUAGAUAAUCGCUGAAAGCAUCUAAGUGAGAAACUAACCUCGAGAUGAGAUUUCCCAUUCGUCAGAAGUAAGACCCCUGAGAGACGAUCAGGUAGAUAGGCUAGAAGUGGAAGUGUAGUGAUGCAUGGAGCGGACUAGUACUAAUAGGUCGAGGACUUAACCAAG
rnacentral:rRNA from 1 species